GACGAACGCUGGCGGCGUGCCUAAUACAUGCAAGUCGAACGCUGAUUUUCUAACUAAUGCUUGCAUUGACUUGAAAAUCGGAGUGGCGAACGGGUGAGUAACACGUGGGUAACCUGCCUAUCAGAGGGGGAUAACACUUGGAAACAGGUGCUAAUACCGCAUAACAGUUUAUGCCGCAUGGCAUAAGAGUGAAAGGCGCUUUCGGGUGUCGCUGAUGGAUGGACCCGCGGUGCAUUAGCUAGUUGGUGAGGUAACGGCUCACCAAGGCCACGAUGCAUAGCCGACCUGAGAGGGUGAUCGGCCACACUGGGACUGAGACACGGCCCAGACUCCUACGGGAGGCAGCAGUAGGGAAUCUUCGGCAAUGGACGAAAGUCUGACCGAGCAACGCCGCGUGAGUGAAGAAGGUUUUCGGAUCGUAAAACUCUGUUGUUAGAGAAGAACAAGGACGUUAGUAACUGAACGUCCCCUGACGGUAUCUAACCAGAAAGCCACGGCUAACUACGUGCCAGCAGCCGCAGUAAAAC
rnacentral:rRNA from 1 species